rnacentral:rRNA from 1 species
GAUGAACGCUAGCUACAGGCUUAACACAUGCAAGUCGAACGAGCGAGAGAGAGCUUGCUUUCUCGAGCGAGUGGCGAACGGGUGAGUAACGCGUGAGGAACCUGCCUCAAAGAGGGGGACAACAGUUGGAAACGACUGCUAAUACCGCAUAAGCCCACGACCCGGCAUCGGGUAGAGGGAAAAGGAGCAAUCCGCUUUGAGAUGGCCUCGCGUCCGAUUAGCUAGUUGGUGAGGUAACGGCCCACCAAGGCGACGAUCGGUAGCCGGACUGAGAGGUUGAACGGCCACAUUGGGACUGAGACACGGCCCAGACUCCUACGGGAGGCAGCAGUGGGGAAUAUUGCACAAUGGGGGAAACCCUGAUGCAGCGACGCCGCGUGGAGGAAGAAGGUCUUCGGAUUGUAAACUCCUGUUGUUGAGGAAGAUAAUGACGGUACUCAACAAGGAAGUGACGGCUAACUACGUGCCAGCAGCCG